rnacentral:rRNA from 1 species
AACGUAGGAGACAAACGUUAUCCGGAGUUACUGGGCGUAAAGGGCGUGUAGGUGGCUUCGUAAGUCUGGCGUGAAAUUUUUCGGCUUAACCGGGAAAGGUCGUCGGAUACUGCGGAACUAGAGGACGGUAGAGGCGUGUGGAAUUCCGGGUGUAGUGGUGAAAUGCGUAGAGAUCCGGAGGAACACCAGUGGCGAAGGCGACACGCUGGGCCGUACCUGACACUGAUGCGCGACAGCAUGGGGAGCAAACAGG